CGAGGGKAUUUAUCUUCGGWAGAGAGACCGGCGCACGGGUGCGUAACGCGUAUGCAAUCUACCUUUUACAGAGGGAUAGCCCAGAGAAAUUUGGAUUAAAUACCUCAUAGCAUUGCAGAAUGGCAUCAUUCAGCAAUUAAAGUCACAACGGUAAAAGAUGAGCAUGCGUCCCAUUAGCUAGUUGGUAGGUACGGCUACCAAGGCUCGAUGGGUAGGGGUCCUGAGAGGGAGAUCCCCCACACUGGUCUGAGACACGGACCAGACUCCUACGGGAGGCAGCAGUGAGGAAUAUUGGACAAUGGGCGCAAGCCUGAUCCAGCCAUGCCCGCGUGCAGGAUGACGGUCCUAUGGAUUUGUAACUGCUUUUAUACGAGAAGAAACACUACUUCGUGAAGUAGCUUGACGGUAUCGUAAGAAUAAGGAUCGG
rnacentral:rRNA from 1 species